AAUGAAUUAAGAAAAAGAGAGGGACAGAAGGCUGGAUGUUGUGGAGAGAGGAAAUCGGGAAGUGCAACAGAUUAGUGAGGAUGAAGAGAGGACAGCUAUGAAGAGGAUGCAGAGUGUAAAGGCAAUUUGUCCAAG